UACGGAGGGGGUUAGCGUUGUUCGGAAUUACUGGGCGUAAAGCGCACGUAGGCGGACUAUUAAGUCAGGGGUGAAAUCCCGGGGCUCAACCCCGGAACUGCCCUUGAUACUGGUAGUCUUGAGUUCGAGAGAGGUGAGUGGAAUUCCGAGUGUAGAGGUGAAAUUCGUAGAUAUUCGGAGGAACACCAGUGGCGAAGGCGGCUCACUGGUCCGGUACUGACGCUGAGGUGCGAAAGCGUGGGGAGCAAACAGG
rnacentral:misc_RNA from 1 species